GAAAAUUUGGUCAUUGUGUUACACCACUUGUACCUUCUUUUAUAUUCAGCAACCUUAUACCACUUUCUUCUGUCUCCUCUCUCUUUCUCUCUUUCACACACAUACACACAGUGCAGAGGUUGGAAGGAGGAGGUUGGUCUUGCUGCAACUCAAGGAGGCAUCCAAAGGGAUCGCAUUGAUCCCAAACUCUCUUUGAAUUAAAGCUAGACGUAUGAUAUAUAUGAACAAUUAAUGUUUUCAAGGAGUCCAUAUAUAAUGAAUUUGGAUCAUGCUAUUCCUUUGGAUUUCUCCUUUUGUAGCUUCUACAACAUAUAUGAAGAAGACAAUUGUGAUAUAUUGCUGGAAAAGGCGCAACCCUUAGCAGAAGAAGAUACAAUGCAGCCACCUCUAAACAAGUAAGUUCUAUAUAAUUAAGACUCCUAACCCUUUUAAUUUGGCACAAACUAAUUACUUCUUCUUUCCUGAAAAUUAUACAUACUUGAUCAGUUCUCUUCAAAUAUGAAUAAGUUUAAGCUUUAAUUUCUGAUUAAUUAAUUAAUGUUAUUUAAGCAUUAUUAUGUUUUAGAUUUUUCUUCAGUUUCUUUGGCUAUAUUUAAAUAAAAGCUCAACCUUUGAAAUCAAGGAGGUUGUGCGCAAACACGUACGUUAGAUCUAUUAAUUUCCAAGAGCAUAAAGCUCCACCCUUAAAAUGGAAGAUCGACUAGAAAAGAGUACCAUCAUAAUAUUGUUGUUUAGCUUCUUUAAGAUAUUGUAAUAUACUUCUAAAUCAAUUUACUUGGUAUUUAAAUUUAUCUCUUAAAUAUUAGUAGUAUUACUUAAAUUUUGAUAUUGGGAGUUGAAUAUUUUUCCUUUUUCAAUUUGAAGCAAGAACAAACGAAGCAAUUAUAGGUCGUCUUUAGGUAAGGUUGAAGGAUGUACAAUUUAUUACGAGGAGAUCAUAAUCUUCGUUAUUUCUCACUUAAUCAAUCUUCUCUUCUCUUUUUAAUGUAUAUAUGAUUAUAUCAGUGCCUACUCUAAUUUAACUAUAAAUCAAUAUAUUUAUUAUUAAUUGUACAUAUACAAAUAUAUGCAUAUGCACCAACAAUAUAUAUAUAUCAUUCUCUGCGUAAAUGAUGAUGAACAGACAACCCAAGUUGAAUUUUUAGGCCAACAGCUGCGAAUGAAAUAGUAACAGAUGGUAAGGAAAGAUGUUUUUUCACAUGCGUUUGGUGGGAAAUUAAUUGCUUUUAAAAAAAAGUAACUUUAGUUUUGUCAACGACUGUUUAUAUGUCUUAAGACUGCAUUUAACUAACUAUAUAUUCUUUUGGUAAUUAAUAUUAAUCCCUAGCUAAGAUGCAUCCACCUUGCCAAGAAUGUGAUCGAUGUUUCAGGCAAAGGUUGCGAGGAGAAAAGGUAUGAAAUCCUCCUCCAAUUAAUUACCAGACUAUAAGAAUUUGAUCAACAUUAUAUAUAUAUAUAUAUAUAUAUAUAUAUAUAUAUAUAUAUAUAUAUAUAUAUAUAUAUAUAUAUAUAUAUAUNNNNNNNNNNNNNNNNNNNNNNNNNNNNNNNNNNNNNNNNNNNNNNNNNNNNNNNNNNNNNNNNNNNNNNNNNNNNNNNNNNNNNNNNNNNNNNNNNNNNUCUCUCUAUAUAUAUAUAUAUGGCCCUGCGCGCAUUAAGACUCCAAAUCACAUGCUUUAAGGACUUUAUUUAGAAUCCAAAGAUAAUAUUUAAGGGCUUUUUUUUGCAACUCACAUUGAGUAUCCUACACACGUGGUGAGACCUUAAAAAAAAGUCCUUUAAACAUGACUAUAAUUUUGAAAUAAAGGGUCUCCCUUUAUCAUCUUACAUUAUCAUCACAUGACCCCAACUUUCCACAAAGUGAAACUCUCUAAUUAAUCACAUGGCCCGCAACCCUUUUCAAAGUUCCUCACCAUUUUAUUAAUGACGCCCUUCAAAGCUUCCUAACUUGAUGAUAUAAAAUUUAUAUAUAUAUAUAUAUAUAUAUAUAUAUAUAUAUAUAUAUAUAUAUACAAGAUCAUAUAUAAAUUAAGAUAAACAUAAAGUUCAAAAACUUAAGUGAAAAGUACUUCCUUGUCAAAUUUUAAGCCAGCUAUAUUGUUACCAUGGGUGGAACUCGUUUUAGAGUUAUGUUUACAUGGUGGUGGUCGCACUUACAACAAGUUUGAGUGAAAUUUUGACAGAUUUUAAAACCUUUAUCACAUGCAUAUAUACAGGGAUUGCAUGGUAGCUGUUGAUCAUGACAGACUUAGGAAGGGAAGAGAACAACAGUACUGCAGUAUUGGCUAAGACAAAUGCUUCGGUAAAACUGGGAAGAAACUUCACAAAAUAUUCCAUUUUUUACAAACAAGUGGGGAAAAAUUCCAGGAUUAGGAAAUUUAAGAAUAGUCUUAUUUUUCUGUAUGAGAGGUAUUUAAAAAAUGACAAUUCAGACCAACAGCAAUGCAGGCACAUAAACUUUUCACAUACAGAAGAAUAUUUUUAGUAAUCUAUCUCAGAAGUAAUCACAUGUAAUUAGGCAUCAAUCACACUUCAAUAAAAUUCCAAAA
rnacentral:lncRNA from 1 species